rnacentral:rRNA from 1 species
CACUCUAGAGAGACUGCCAGGGAUAACCUGGAGGAAGGUGGGGAUGACGUCAAAUCAUCAUGCCCCUUAUGCUUAGGGCUACACACGUGCUACAAUGGGUAGUACAGAGGGUUGCCAAGCCGUAAGGUGGAGCUAAUCCCUUAAAGCUACUCUCAGCUCGGAUUGUAGGCUGAAACUCGCCUACAUGAAGCUGGAGUUACUAGUAAUCGCAGAUCAGAAUGCUGCGGUGAAUGCGUUCCCGGGUCUUGUACACACCGCCCGUCACACCACGGGAGUUGGAGACGCCCGAAGCCGAUUAUCUAACCUUUUGGAAGAAGUCGUCGAAGGUGGAAUCAAUAACUGGGGUGAAGUCGUAACAAGGUAGCCGUAUCGGAAGGUGCGGCUGGAUCACCUCCU